CAGCGAUGUCUGGUGGAGGAGGAGGAGGGGCGGAGGGGCGGAGGAGGCGGAGGAGAAGUUACUUUAUAUGACUUCUGGCUUUCACAAUUUUCUGAGCCUGAGCCUAACCUGUGGGUCUGACUGAGAGAAACUUUUAUAUAAAAUUGAGGAAAAUCCAUAUUUUUUGGCUCCUGAGUGGUGCACAUUAGAUAUCUCUGAGGUCUAAUUGCUUUAGAGUUUUAUUCCAGUUCUUUAUUUUCUUAUUGCUCUUCUUUCUGGUUAAAAUAUUCAUUCUGAAUUUUCAGUAUAGAAUUCUCCUACUAUAAUUGUUUAAUUGUGUCUUCUUCAAUAAUGUCAAGUUUUUCUUCAUGUAAUUAGAAGCUCUAUGGUUGGAUGCAGAUUUGCUUAUGAUCGUUAUAUCUCUUGAUGAGUUCUCCCUACACACAUGCACUUUAUCUGUGGUAUUGGGACUGAAGUCACGGCCUUUGGACUGCUAGCCUCUUUGCAAGUCCGCACAGCAGAGACAAUGGGAGCCCCCUGGCCUGGCAGUCUGUCACCAGAGAAGGAAAGGAACGCGGGGUAAUUCCUUUCUCUCCCGGGACGAGGUUGGGGGGCAUCCCCUCUGAUGUGGGCUCAGGACUUGCCUUAUCUUGUGUCCUUGUCCUACAAGCCUAUGAUGAUAAAAGGGAAAGUCACAUUUAUGAAUAUUUUAUUAACACAUGAUUAUGGCAAUAAUUUCUACCCCUUCCCCCUCCUAAGUUAUUUUAAGAAGAGCAGCUGUUGGUCUGCCUGGAGGCCCUGCCCAAUGAUCUAUCCACUAUAUAUUCUGCUUUGGAAGGUUUCGUGAUAGGUUGUUCCAAAGUCAGCUAUUAAGAAUUUCACAGUCAUGGCCGGGGACUUAGCUCAGUGGUUUCGCCACCUGCUGUGCAAGCACAAAGACCCAAGUUCGAUCCCCGGUACCAAAAAAAUAAAAAAUAAAAAUAAAAUAAAAAACAAGAAUUUCACAGUCAUGUAUAAAUCUCUUUGCUUUCUGUCCUAAUGGAUCAUUUUGAAUUAUAUUAAGAAUCAUCUUCAUUAAUCCAGACUUUUUUUUUUCAUUAAGAUAAUAUCUCUUCGCAGUGUGCCUGGGUUCCUUAACUGAGUUUGAAAGCCCUGGUCCUAUUCUACAAAACCGUUAUCAUCCCUGUGGGGAGAUGUGGGGCCAUAUAAUCACACUCAGGUUAUAUGGUUUUUGAACCCAUAAAGGAAUAACAGCCACUGCUAGUGUGGGUUUAGUGUUUGAUGGUUUCAGAAGACUUACACCUCAGUGAUGUCUGUGAUCCAGUCAGACUAAGGCAAUAAUCCAGUGAGAAAAACUGCCUCCCACUAGCUGGGGGGCAGGUCUGAGCCUGUUUCCUCCUCUGCACAAUGGGGCUCCUGCUAGUGUGAUGGCCAACCCGACUCCAUCUUGUGCCUCAAUGCCAUUUUGUACCUGUGCUUGAACAAAGUGAUUGCAUGUGAACAAAGCACCCAAACCCCCCACAUCCUGCUUGGCAGUAAACUUCCUACAGUUGCAGGAUGUUUUGUAGCUCACCUAGUGUGUGUGAAACUUCCUUGAACCCCCCACUAACCUGGCACAAUUCUGCUUCUCUAAGAUUCUGCUUGCUCUCCCCUGAGCCCUCCCCAACUGAAAGCAUGAUUUAAAAGGUGAAAUCAAACUGCUUCCCAUUGCCAAG
ensembl:lncRNA